rnacentral:lncRNA from 1 species
AAAACCAUUGUCAAGAUAAUUCGACUUUUCAAGAUCUGUUCUCAACAGAUAUCAACAUUAUACACUCAUUUUCUAUACUGUUAGGAUUUCCCUCAUAAUUGUAGAAUUUCUUCCAGUGUAUAUAAUUAUUGCUAUAUAGUUAUUUAUCAUUUAUAAGCAAAAGAGAAUUUGUGAAAUAUUCUAAGCUUGUCAACCCACACUGCACAUUUAUAUUUUAUUUUAAUUGGAGGAUUAAUAUUUUCAGACACCACAAAUGCUUUUUAUGAUAAUUAACAGUAAUACAAGGCACUCAGUUUUUAGAAGGUUUGUUAGAAACUUCUCUUCAGAGAGCCACGGGGCACAAACAUCCUUUUCUGUUAUUUGAAAGAAAUUGUCUCUGAAAAAUGAUCAGAAUAAAGCAAUGGAACAGAGUUAUUUUAAAAAAAAAAGUCUUGAUUUUGCACAAAUACUUCAUCAACAGUCUUGUGCAGUAUGAAUUGGAAUGCCAUACACUCAAAUGUAAGAUGAAAGGAAGGGGAGAAGCGUGGGGGAAAUGAGUGAAGAAUUAGAAAAUGUAUGAGAUAUCUUCUCUGGACUAAGAAAUUUAUUUAAAGCUGCUAUGUAGAAAAUUUGAUGUCAGGCCAAAAUGUUUGUCUCUGCUCUUAAAGAGUAACUAACAAAGGAAUUUAUAUUUCUGCACAUAGAACUGCAUGUCUACAAAUUCACUCAAUAUUAAAAAUAUCCACUGGAACGUAGAACUUUUUUUGCAUUUAAGUAUUCAGCAUGGGGGAUGGACUGAUUAUUAUAGAAUGACAAAUAUCUGAGCCUAGUUAGUACAGGUCAAAUAUGUAUAGAUCGAAAAGGAAUUAAGAAAUUAUUUUAGAGGUCAGUGAAUACACAUAGCAUUGCUCAAGAACCUGAUGAUAAAUUCCAUAUUGAUACCUAAUUAUCUUAACUGUAGAUAUUAGGUGCUAGACUUUGAAAAGAUGCAUUGUAGGUGACCCGAUUUAUUUAAUAUUAAUUAAAACCUAUUUAGUACACGUCAAAUAUUAAGGAAUAGAAAAAUAAUGAACAAAUUAAUAGGGGAGAGCAUGGAAUAAAAGGCACGGUUGUCUAGAAACCAGAUAGAAACAAAAUUGAAAUGGAUUCCCUAUUAUCUUGCUAUUGGGAAUAUUGAAGAUAAACCGAACUAUUUAAUAUAAAUGGAUAUGAUAUUAAGUUGAUGUAUUAAUGACCACUGGAAUUAGUAAAGCAUGGGACAAUUCUUUAAGAUGGAUUCGUUAACGUUGUCAGUUGACUGUUACAAGAGAAUGUAGACAAGUUUUAACCACAAAUUAAAUUUAGUCCAGCUGAAUUUAAUUUAUUUGUAAAUACCUUGUGGGAGAUCUGGAAUCACAUUUAAUAGUAAGAUCUUUUCUGAGGCUGCCAAAAAAAAAAAAACACGGGACUAAUGUAAAACGAACUUAAGGACAAAUUUAGUUGUAUGAUUUGUUUUUUUUAAACAAGUAUAUGUAUUUCAGAUAGCACUAUUUAGAUAAGUGUUUUUGUAAAUCUUCUUUUUAAAUAGACAAACCUUAUUUCUUAAGUUCUUAAAAUAGUAUUUGUGUUUUUCCUUUUUUGUUUUGUUUUUUGUUUUGUAAUAGUUUUUUUUUCUUUUACUUUAUUCAUUAAGUAGCUGCAAAGAAUAACUGCCACAUACACAUUGCUUAUUCUAGUGACAAGAUCUCAUUUAUAAUACAGUUGCACAUUGCGCAGUUAAAGAUUCCUGAAAAAUUAAAAGGAGCCAAAUGGAUGCACUCAUAGCAGUUAGCAUAAAUAUGAUAACUGUAUGGAUGCUUUUAAUAGCUUGUGGCUUAUUUCUGCAGGUUGAACUCACUAUUUUCCAAUGCCUACAGCAGCAAAGGGGUGCUCAGAUGCUGGGCAGUAAAACUGCACCAAUUUUUGCCUGGUUUUAUUGUAAUAAAAUGUCUAUGCUUCCUAUGCCAUUAGUGUCCCACUGUAUGUACAGCUUCAAAGGAACACAUUGGGAGCAUCAUUUUACCCUAUCCAAGGGUACACUAACUACUACAAUAUUUUACACAGCUUCAGAUUUUUGAAAUAAUGCAGUUAUAUGGAUGAUUUAGCAGUAGGAUACAUUUUGCAAUUUUUAUUUUCUUUGUAACAAAAAAAAUAUUGUAGAAUAGCUUGUAGUGUACAAUAGUAACGUGAUCCUUUCAUCCUUGUAUCUAACUUGUGGGCAGCAGUAUUUGAAAUCCUCUCGUAUCUUUCUGUGUGGUUUGUGAUAUAAAUGUACAUGAAAUUAAAUGCACCUGUCCUUUCAAUGUGUCUUAAUACUGAUCUGUACCUACUAUUAUAAAUAUGCUUUCACUCUUAUGAUAUCCAUGUAGACUAAUGUCAAUGUACUACACGCAAGUUUUAUACUCUGAUAUUUAUAUUGCUUUUCUUUCUUUGGAAAAAAUAAAAUGUUUUCUUCCAAAAAAAAUAAACUAAU